rnacentral:rRNA from 1 species
GUGGGGAAUCUUAGACAAUGGGGGAAACCCUGAUCUAGCCAUGUCGCGUGAGCGAUGAAGGCCUUAGGGUUGUAAAGCUCUUUCAGCUGGGAAGAUAAUGACGGUACCAGCAGAAGAAGCCCCGGCUAACUCCGUGCCAGCAGCCGCGGUAAUACGGAGGGGGCUAGCGUUGUUCGGAAUUACUGGGCGUAAAGCGCGCGUAGGCGGACCAGAAAGUUGGAGGUGAAAUCCCAGGGCUCAACCUUGGAACUGCCUUCAAAACUCCUGGUCUGGAGUUCGAGAGAGGUGAGUGGAAUUCCGAGUGUAGAGGUGAAAUUCGUAGAUAUUCGGAGGAACACCAGUGGCGAAGGCGGCUCACUGGCUCGAUACUGACGCUGAGGUGCGAAAGCGUGGGGAGCAAACAGGAUUAGAAACCCUAGUAGUCC